UACGUAGGUGGCAAGCGUUAUCCGGAAUUAUUGGGCGUAAAGAGCGCGCAGGUGGUUGAUUAAGUCUGAUGUGAAAGCCCACGGCUUAACCGUGGAGGGUCAUUGGAAACUGGUCGACUUGAGUGCAGAAGAGGGAAGUGGAAUUCCUAGUGUAGCGGUGAAAUGCGUAGAUAUUAGGAGGAACACCAGUUGCGAAGGCGGCUCUCUGGACUGUAACUGACACUGAGGCACGAAAGCGUGGGGAGCAAACAGGAUUAGAUACCCUU
rnacentral:rRNA from 1 species